UACAGAGUGAGUUCUAGGACAGCCAGAGCUACACAGAGAAACCCUGUCUCAAAAAAUAAGCAAACAAAUAAACAAAUGACAUUUAAAAGAACCUAAAAGUUGUUAGUAUCUUACAGACUCAAUUUCAGAAUGUGUUGGUUCUGACAUAUAUUACAUUCUUUAGGCAAAUUUCUCAACCUAUUUCAGCUCUAUGACUUUAUUUGAUAUUUGUCUGACAGUGUUUCUAAAUUAAUUUUAUUCCUAGCUAAAACACAGCAUAUAAAAGUUGUAUGUAUUUGUGAGAUGCUACGUGAUGUUUCUGUAUAUGUGCGCGUGGACUAAUAUUUACAUCAGGCUAGAUAUACCUAUGUCCUUAAAUAUUUAUGCUUUAUGAUGAGAACUUUCAAAACCCUUUCUUCUGGCAUUUUGAAUUAUGUUAUGUGUUAUCAUUAUCUGUAAUUACCUUAUUAUGCAACAAGACACCAGAAUGUCUUGCCCCUGUCUGACUAUAACACAGUCCCCAGUAAUCUGUCUUCCUACUGAUUCUGUCUGUUCUCCUGUGAUGUUCGUCUUCACUGCCACACUGAUUGAAUUUAGAAUACUCUAAAAGACACACCACUGGGUACAUCUGUAAGAGUGCCUCCAGAGCUGUUUACAGAAUACUCUAAAAGACACACCACUGGAUAUAUUGUUAAGAGUGCCCCCAGAGCUGUUUAUAGAAUACUCUAAAAGACACACCACUGGAUAUAUCGGUAAGAGUGCCCCCAGAGCUGUUUAGCUAGGAAGGGUGACUCAUCCCAAACGUGAGUGGCUCCAUUACAGAGCCUGGGACUCAGACUUAAUAAAAACAGAAAAGAAGGCAGAUGAUCACCACCAUUCACUGGUCUCUGUGUCUUGACUGGAGAUAAUGUGACCAGCUGUCCUCUGCUCCCUCUGCCAUGCCUUCCCCACCACGAUGGCCUCAAACUAUGAGCCAAACAAAAACAAACAAAUCAACCCAUCCUUCCUUCCUAAGCUACAUAUUCUGUGCUUUUGGUCACAGCAAUGAUCGAGUAGUACAUCACCAAAGGCUCUGCUAACCACGGUUCUAUUCCCCACGUCUACAGUGCCAACUUUUUAUAUUGUCCUUGAGUGAAGCAUUUGUCUUUCUCUGCCUGGCUUACCUCACUUAAUGUAAUAUCUUCUGGUUAUAUCCAUGUCUUAAAUGACAGAAUUUUAUUUUUAUGGUUUAAUAGUACUUUUUAUACAGAUGUGCUAAUUUUUUUUUAUCUUUUCAUCAUUUGAAGGCUACUUAUGUCCCUGCACCCGUUUCCUGAAUAGUGCCGCAAACAUGGAAGUACAGACGUCUCUUCAACACACUGAUCUCUUUUAGCUGUACUAUCCAAUGGUGUGAUUGCUGGAUCACACGGUAGUUCUAUUGUCCCCUUUGAAAUUAUUUUCCUAUGUAUGGAUAUACUGUGUGUGUCUAUGCCUGUGUGCUAUUUGCAUACUUGGUACCCUUGGAGGGCAGAAGAGAGCAUCAGAUUCGCUGGAACUACAGUUACAGAUGGAUGUUAACCAUCAUGUGGGUGUUGAGAAUUAAACCCCGGUCCUCUGGAAGAUCAUCCAUUGCUCUUAACUGCUGAUCCAUUUCUCUAGCCCCCAUUUUUCCCUUUUUGGAGCAUCUUCAUUUUCUAUAAUAUCUAUAUGAAUUUACAUUAACCCAGACAAUACGCUUUGUAUUUCCUGGUUCUUAGGUGUCUGUGCUCUGAUCUGCAUGUGGUUCACUAUUUCACCUGUAGGUGUUACCCUAAAUCCUAGUUCCAAAAGGACUUGCCUUUUCAUGUUCAGGGAGCUCCAUAUGGGAUCUGUCUGUCAGUGUGCUGUCACUGUUAGCACUAGAGGGUGAUCCAAGCUCAGAGUUGUCACAAUCAAUGAGUGUAUUACUCAGCAUGAGCUGGCAGAGCACCUAAGAGAGGCAGCCCUUCCCUACAGGGAGGUACUAGAAGGUUCUUCCUAGGGCUAGGUAAGCUCACAUGCCAUCCUCUCAGUCACCAGCCUGUUGUAAGCUCUACUGGAGAAUGCCUAGCUCUCGGCAGCAUCACAAUAGAGGGAGCAGCCCAGGCUCCUGUGUCACCAGAGUGACGCUCAGCACUGUGCCACCCUCUAACAUUAUAGCCUACCAUUCAGCCUGAUCUUUGUACUGGUGAGAUGGAUUUGUGCCCUAUGCUGCUACAAAUGGCCACAGGUGAUGCUAUCUCAAAUAGAAAACUGAUACCCUGAAACCUCACAUCUUCAUUGGACAUGAGGGCUCUUCUAGAGACUUCAUCUACAGAUGCCAGCAGCUAGGCAUGGGCACCACUCCGCUCUCUGACUUGACGACUUAUUCUGGUGGCUACAUUCUCUGGCUCAAUGAUUUGCUGUGCUGGCACAUAGAAUUCAGGAAAUACACCUGCUGGUUCAUGGUGAAGGACAAUGAACCAUACAGAUGAAUGACGUCAUGAAGAAGAGGUACUUAGUGUGAAGUCUGGAAGGGUCUAAAACACAGACACUUCUGUCCCUGUGGAGCUGGGCAAGCAGCUGUGAUAGGCACAAGUUUGCUUCUCUUCGGCUGUGAUAAGACAUUCUGACCAACAGCAGCUUGGGCAAGGAAGAGAUUUGUUUGGCUUGUACUUCCACGUUCAUCACAGAGGGAAGUCAGGGCAGGAACUCAAACAGAAACUUGGAAGCAGGAACUGAAACAGAGAGCACGGAGGAAGACCGGUUGGUGACUUUUUUUUUUGUCAGCUACUUUUUUAGUUUUCUUUUUUUACAUAGCUUGGACCUACCUGCCCAGGGAUGAAUGAGGUGCCUGCCUAGGCAUCUCAUCCAGUGUGUUAGACUCCCCUACAUCAACUAGCAGUUAAGAAAGUGCCUCACUGACUUGGCCAAAGGCCAGUCUAAUCUGGACAGUUCUUCAGCUGAGGUUCCCUCUUCCCUAGAGUGGCCCAAGGAUGUUGUCAAUUUGACAGCUGAAGCUAACUGUGAACCUAAUCCACCCCCUAAGGGUAUUAUACAGACACUCAGCUCCUCCCAGAGCUUCAAGGAAAAGUUGCAGUCUAAUUAUUUCUCUUGUACUGGGUAGAUUCUGUUUUCAAGGAAGUAGGGAAGGGACAGAUGAAUGCGUAGAUAAUCGAGAGUUCCACAGAGGGUGCUGAGAGCACAUGGCAGCUACAGGGAACAUGGUCUCAUUGCAAGGUUCUUGUUUGUUUCUUCGUGCUUGGAACAACACUUUUAAAUGUGUUUUCUUAGAAACUAUUUACAGGGUGAGACUUUGAUGAUAGGGAGAUGCCAUGGAGUCUAAAAAUAUGACAUGGGUAGGCAUGUCUUAAAUUCUGAAUAGAUAGAUGGAGAGAUGGAAGAGGUUGCUAGGGAGUGAGGAAAUUCCCAUGUGCUGGCUUCUCUCUUGUUUUGGUCAUAAAGUGGCUGAGUCAUCUGCUGAGUGGAAAGGGCCCAGAGGCUGUGAAGAACCUGUGUAGAUGAUGUGUCAAGGAGAUUCCUGGAAAGAAGCUUCCUGUGCAGAGGCUGGUUGGCUGACUAGAACUGCAGUGAUGUGAAUAGUUGGGGAUGCUGUGGCAGACAAUUACCCUGCCGCGGGCUAUAGCCCUCUGAAUAGCCAUUCCUUGUCCAGCUGUGUGUCAGAACUAACAUCUGGUAAGGAAUAGACAAAACCCUUUUAGAAUCUAUUAACUUAGCAGACCAUUAGCUCUACCAACCCAGAAACUAAGAACACCAUGAGAUGCCAUCUCAAGCCUAUAGGAGAGAUUUCCCCAUAUUUCUGUCCCUGCCUCUCUGAUGUAACCACCUAUGUGUUUUAAACUUACCUUGACUUAUGGUUUUCUUUGUUCUGUAAAACUAUAAAACUUCCUGAAACUGCUUCUACAUUGGAACAUGGAAUUUGGGGGUAACCCA